UGGAAGUUGAGCAGCCAUCAUGCUCCACCGAGGAAGUGAGGGUGAAUGGAGCCAAGAGAUGUGGAGGGAGAAACUGGUUCCAGGAAACACCCUCUAUUCCCUAUCGCUUCAUGCUGCGAGUAACAGGGGUUAUUCAAAAGCACACUGGAGAAAGCAGGAAGAGCGCCACCUGCAGCUUGGGUAGGCUCCAUUUCGAGGAUGGAAUCAAUCCACUGUGGCUCCGAGGCCUGCCGCCUGCUUGCGACAGUUAAAUGCCUUCGGUUUUUGAGUUAUUUAAAGAACAUACCCUUUUAUGGGCAGGAGGAAGCACUUUAAUCUGCAAAAUGAUUUUUAUCACAAACUAAACAUCCUUGUAACUUUUUGGUCCUCUGCUUUGGUCGAAGUUGUCUCUCCUUGGAGCUCAGACAGCUGUUGGAGCUCAGAAGAUCUGCCUCCACCCUGCACUUUGCCCUGCUCGCUGGUACUGUGGUGCUCUCCAAUUCCUGGAUCCAUGUGGGAUGUAAGAACUCAGGAUCAGGACGCCUGCACGCAUCAAAAUGGGGCAUUUUCUUUCUCUUUAUCCCAGGACUUGAGAGAAAGCAAAAAACAAACACGAACAAAAAAAAAAAAACAAGAAUUCCUCUAAUUUAAGGUUUUUAACCUUGACACUUGAAGUUUUGGGCCAAUUAUUUGUCAUCAGGACUGCUUUGUGCAAUGUAGGAUAUUCCUGGCCUCUACCCACUAGAUGACCCAUUAGCACCCCUCAUUUGGGACAACCAAAAAUGUCCGUGGACAUUGACAAAUAACCAGGGAUGGGGGCCAAGAUCCCCCCUCAUUCCCCAGCUCCCCAUUUCCUGGUUAAAAACCACUGCUGACAGCAUCUUUAAAAACAUAAUUCCUUGUAGUAUUAUGUUGUGAGAUUGAGAGAACCACCACCCUCCUUAGAACUUUACAAAAGCCAUAUAAAAUAUCCCCUGAGGAGAACUGACUUAAACUUCAAGAUAGCAGCCUGCGCAACAUAGUGAAAUCCCAUCUCUACGGAAAAAAAAAAAACACAAAAAGUAGCCAGGCACGGUGGCACGAACCUGUAGUACCAACUAUCCGGAAGGCUGAGGUGGGAGGAUUCCUUGAGCCUCGGAGGUCAAGGCUGCAGUGAGCCCUGAUGGUGCCACUGCACUCCAGCUUGGCCGACAGAACGAGACCUUGACUCCAAAAUAGCAAUACUACUGUCUAUCAGGGCUAUGAAGCCACAUAAGACUUGACCCAUUAAGGACAAGAGUGAAGAAAAAUGUAUCAAAUAGAAAUAAUUUUAUCUAAACACUGGCAAGAGGAAAAAGACAUGGAGGAGAAACUUAGAAAUGAAAAGCAGCGAGGCAUCUAUAUGUUUUUCCGAGGCAAAAUUUACAUACCAUCAAGGUCAUCCAUGGUAAGUGUAAAGUUCAACGAUUUUAAGUAAACUUAUAGAAUUGUGCGAUCAGCACCACAAACCAGUUUUAGAAUGUAUCUACUAUCUCCAAAAGACCCUGCAACUGUUACAGUAAACUUCCCUUAAUUUUUGCAGCAAAUGUUCUAGAGUUGAAAAGAAAGCUCUUUCUACAUCUGCAAGGCUGAUUCAUUUUUCUCCCUUCCAAGAACUCUACUAAAAAAAUUAUUUGUUGCUUAUCUGAAAUGCAAAUGUAACUGGAUGUCCUGUAUUUGUGAAAUUCCGGCAACCCUAAUCCAGGACCAAAGCAGAAUUAACCAAAUAAAUGAAAGUGCAUGUCUAGAAAUAAAUGUACUUU
rnacentral:lncRNA from 1 species